AUGUGCGGGAACCUGUCAUCUAUUUCUUCAAACUGGUGGGGUGAAGCAAAUGGUCAGAAGAAGGUGCAUUGGAUCGCUUAGGAUAAGAUGUGUACGAGGAAGCAUGAAGGAGGGCUAGGUUUUCGAGACCCGGAGGCUUUUAACCAAGCUUUGCUUGCUAAGCAGGCUUGGCGGUUGUUUCAGGUGCCAACCUCUCUGUGUGCUAGGGUCCUCAAAGCCCGAUAUUAUACAGAGGGAUCCAUCCUAAAUGCAACUUCCCCUAGGGGCUGUUCAUACACCUACAGGAGCAUUUUACACGAAAGAGACCUGCUGCUUGAUGGCCUUAUAUGGAGAACUGGAGAUGGCUCAAAAAUCAAAGUGCAACAUGAUAAUUCGAUUCCCAGGAAAGGUAGCCUAAAGCCACUGGGCCAAAGCUACAUCCCCAGGAUCACGCGGGUUAGCGAUCUACUGGAGGCCAACGGAGUUUCGUGGAACAUGAACAUGGUAUAG
rnacentral:rRNA from 1 species